UAUUUAAUUGAUGGGCCCAAGCCCAACUAAGCUUAGUUGUUUCUCUAACUAUUAAUAAUCUUUAUCUUGUCAUUAGGAGGGGAAUUUUUGAAUAGAUGAAUAUUUCAUAAGCAACCUUUUUGCUUGUGGAGACCUUUGAGGUUCUCUUUAGGGUUUUGCUCCUUUUGUUCUACUUUGAAUCAAAGCUUGGAUGUCUUUAAUGAGUAAGGAAGAAUUGUGGGAGAACAAAUAAUCAUAUUGGGCAAAACUAUAUGAAUCAUUACAAUGAAGGAUGUGGUAUAGAUAGAUAUCUGAGUUACCAAGAAAUGUUUUAGAUGAUAUCUUGAACCGCAUGGUCAUCAAAGAAAUAGCAAGGUGAGUGUCUUGUUACAAAAAUGAAAUCGUAUAUGGCCUACUCAUUCAAUCCUUGUGUUUGAUUGUCAGUACAAUGAGAAAAUAAAAUACCAAAAUCUAUUAUCAUUCUAGUCACUUUUGAGUUCAAAAACAUUGUCAGCAAAAUCCUCUUGCAACACAAUGACCUUACUGUCAAGUUUGUCCUUGACAUGUCAAGUGUUGAUUUAGACGAUUGAGACACCCAUCAUUUGCUACGAUAUAUCUCUAACAUUUUUCUGAGUUCCUUAAAAAUUCUAUUGGAGAACUUUUAGGGUUCUCGUUAGGGCGAGUCGGUGGUCGUCUACUAGACAAAGCUGGAGAUGGAGGUCGCGCGGCCGGGCUUUCAAAAUUCUGUGCAUCAGCUUUUGCCAUUAAUUAUGCAUUUAUAGAGUCAGUGUCAGAUGAUGCCGAAGAAAUAACCUGUUGUUGCAACUGGAAAAUUAAUGAAUCAGUAUUAGAACCCUACUGCUGUUGAUAAUUGAGAUACGACAAAAACAUUUUUUAUGUGUGAUUUCUUUAACAAACGUCACCCAAGUGACCCUUUGUAUGACCUGCUAUGUCUUGGCUUGAAGUCAAGAUUCUUGCACGAAGGCUGCAUUGGUACAUAUACCUACCUGGCCCAUUUUGUCCCUGUAUUUUGAAGAAUCUUUGGUACAAUUUUAGGCUGUUAGUUUUCAAGUGUUGCUCGUCAUUUUAGGGAAUUGCUCAUCCUUCGGUCUCUCAUCAAUAAUGUUUCUUGGACAUCUAUAACUUUGUUUUGAAGAUGAUAGACAAAAUGUUGGAUUUUUCAAGAAACGUCAUAGAUGAUAAACAGAAUGAUGAAACUCUCUAAAUUGAUGAGCAACUCUUGAAAAGUAACAGCCUAAAAUUGUACAAAACACUCUUCAAAAUGCUGGGACAAAAUGGGCUGAGGGGGUAUAUAUACCAAUGCAUCCAUUGUGCAAGAAUCUUGGCUUCAAUCCAAGACAUAACAGACUAUUCAAAGGGUCACUAGGUGAUGGCUGGGUUAAAGGAACCGCCUAAAAAAAAUAUUUUUGCCGUGGCCCAAUUAUCAACAGCAACAGGGUUCUACUACUGACUCAUCAAUUUCCCAGCCGCAACAACAGGUUGUUUCUGCAGCACGAUCGGACACUGACACAAAUGCAUAAUUAAUGGCAAAAGCUGAUGCACAGAAUUUUGAAAGCCCCACCGCGCAGCCUUCGUCUCCAGCUUCGUCUAGCAGAUGACCACCGACCCACCCUAGCCUGAACUCUAGAAGUUCUACAAUAGAAUUUUUAAGGAGCAUAGUAAAAUAUUGGAGACUUAUCGUAGCCAAUGAUAGAUGUCCGAUCGUCUAAAUCAUCACCUAAUAUGUCAAGGACAAACUUGAUAAUAGGAUCAUUGUGUUGCAAGAGAAUCUUGUUGACGAUGUUUUUGAAGUCAUCAAUGACUGAGGAUGAUGAUAGAUUUUAGUAAUUUAUUUUCUCAUGGAAUUGGCUAUCAAGCACAGGGAUUGGAUGUGUAAAUCAGAUAUGGUUCCAUUUUUGUGACAAGACACUCAUCCUUGCUAUUUCCUUGAUGGCCAUGCGGUUCAAAAUAUUAUCUUUAAUGUUUUGUGGUAACUCAGAUAUUCUGUCUAUACCACGUCCUUCAUUACAACGAUUCACAUAGUCUAGUUCAAAGAAGCACCAGAGACCUAAAGGCAAGCUAUACGCCGAUGAUUCUGCGCCAGAUCAUGCUAAAUAUCAAUCCAAAAUUUGAUGGGCUAAAACAGGCUCAGCUAAUAAAUGAUGGGGUAAUUUUACCACUUUUAAUUAUCGUCAGGCGUUCCGGGCUUGAACUUUUGGGUUCGGGCGUUAAAUCCUUGGAGAAUGCCAUGGAAUUCAGCUUGUAUUGACCAAGGGUCGGACCUAUGGCCGAGCCGGGCUUUGCUACUCGAGCAUCGAUGGUGAAAUCGUCAUGAUUGGGUUAUGGAAAUUGGGCUCAGAAAAAGUGGGAGUCAGGUGGGUGUGAAUUGUGAUUCAGUUGUGUUGGUUAAGCCUAGUCCCGUUAUGUUAGUUCAGUGGGUUUCACUUGCGAAUAGAGUUUUGAGGGUUUUAGCCCAAAUUUCAAUUAAGGACAGGUAUUUAACUUUUCUCCAUGCUAUUCAUUAAAAUAUCUUGUUGUAUUGAAAAUUCAGCGGUUAUUUGUGAUUGGUUUGGAUUCAUUAGGUUAAAGAAAUUUGAGAGCUAUCGAGUUUUGAGGUCUGACUUGAAUCUAACCAUUGAGAAAUGUUGAGAUUGGUGUUAGGAUGUUGGCUAUUAAAUUUGGAGUCACUUGGAGUUGAUUUGGUCCGAUUUGGAUCAAUUUUGGAGCAAAAAAGUGUGGUGAAAUUUCUCAAGAA